UUUUUUUUUUCUGUCUUUUAUGCUUUUUUUUUUAUUUUUUUAUAGCCAGUGUUGGUGAGAACUAAGCCAAGACUUUCACUCUCUUUUUGCAAUUCAGUUUCUUCGUUGUCAAUUUUUAGGGGGUGGUGGAUGCAGCUGACAGGUGAAUGGGAUCGAAUUUGUUUAUGUUUUUUUUUUUUUCCAGUGUUUUCAAAGUUGUUUAUAAUUGAGAUUUCUUUUUCUGUGGUUUUGUUUAGCAUUACUUUUGAUUUUCCGGGGUAUCCAGUUAUUUGUGUGAUAUCGUCUGCAUACGAAAUAUUUAUUGCUUUGUAUGUAGGUGGAUUGUUUGUGUAAAUAGUGAAGAGAGUUGGUGCGAUAACACUGCCUUGUAGUACUCCUGAUUGAAGAACAAAGUGUGGACCGAGAUAAUUAUUGAUCCUUAUGUGUGCUUUUUCUGUCAUCCAAGUAGUCACAAAGAAAUUUUUCUAUGGAUGUUGGAAGAUUUAAUUGUGGUAUUUUAUAUUUUAAUCCUAGAUGUGACACCUUGUCAAAGGCUUUUGUUGUCUCUGAGCACUGUCUGGCAGAGGCCAUUGUUACCUUUGUUUUGUGCUAUUUGUUCUACUAUUAUUGCAAGUGCUUGUGGUGCCCCUCUCCCCGAUCUAAAACCAAAUUGAUUGUCGUUGUGGUGGUUGUUAUAUUCUAGGUGUGAUCUAAGUCUUUUGUUUAUAUUUUUUGUAGAAUUUUUCCAUGAACUUCCAGGAGUGAUAUGGGUCUACAGCUGCAGGGGUGAUGCGGAGACUUUCCAGGUUUUGGGAUCAGCUUAAGUGUAGUUACUUUCCAGGCAUCGGGGCAGUAUCUUGAUGAUAGUGUGGUAUUGAAAAUAUUGGUAAGGAAAUUAAUUGCUGAGUUAGAAAGGUUUAUUAAUAUUGUUCUAUUAAUUUCACUUUUUCCAGGACAGGUUCUUUUUGAUUGGUUUAUGUUUGAUCUUACGUCUUCCAAGGUGUCUCAUUGAUCCAUGUAAGUAUUACUGAUUAAGUCUACUAAGAUCUGCAUUGUGGAGGGGCGUGACUCGGUCUGUGUUUUGGUUUAGGAAGGUUAUGACACUGUCGUGCAGACCAUCAGUAUUAUCAUCCUCUUCAUUUUUCUCAUUCCCUAUGAACUUCUUUAUCUUUAUUAGAGUACUUUUUGGUGUUGUUUUUUUGUCCUAAAUGUAAUGUAGUUUAGGGAUUAUUUGGCCAAGUAAAUCUUUAAUUUUCUGCCAGGAUAACCUUGAGUCUUUGUAUGUGCUUGCUGUCUCCCUCAUGAUGUUACACCAGCUUUGAUUAACUUCUUCAUGUAUUUUUUUCUGCUAAUAAGUGUUGUAAUGCUUUAUAGGUACGGUAAUGAUCAUAGGUCCAUCCUGUUAUAUAUGAUAAUUGGCAGAUGGUAUUGAAAAUCGUGAGGAUUACUUUAGUGUUAUGGCUGAAGGUAUGAGUCGGUAAAGAGUAAAGAUAUGUUAACUGGAUGAAUUUCUUUACUGCGGUGUUUAUGGUGGAGUACCAUUGAGUAAUGGCAUUAUCAGUUUCUUCUAGAUUUGCUUCUUGGAGUUCUUGUGGGUUGAGAUGGUGGUUAAUAUAUUGUUUGGAAGCGUUCCACUCGGCUUUCGAGAAGUUAGGUCUGGGAAUUGUGGAGAUGAGCAUGGGUGAUGAUGACAAAGUGAGGAUUAUGGGAAGAUGAUCAUUGGUAGUGAGGGGACCUUCGGAGAUGGCGAUGUUAUGGUAUGUCCUGUAGUUGGAUAAUAUUAUGUCGGGGUCUGUUCCUCUUAAAUAUGUAAGGAAUGUUGGGAAAUGAGGUCCUAUGUGUUGUAUGGUUCCGUUGUGAAUUAGACUGUUCAGUUGUCUGCCUUUCAUGUUUGUGUUGGUGUAACCGAAGAUGUGGUGAUGUGCAUUGAGAUCAGCCAGCAUAUACAAUGGUACGUUUCUGCGGAAGAGAGAGAUAAAGUGAGGGGUGGGUAUGUGAUCACGAGAAGGAGGAUAAAUUGUGGAGAUAAUGAUUUUGCCUGUUGUUUCAGUUUCGGUGGCUAGUGGGUCAGAAGUGAAAUCGUCUAAUAAUUUACUGUUAUUGCAACACCAUCAGCUUUUGAUGCUAAUGUGUUCUUUUGAUAUGAUCGGUAUCCACGAAUUUUUAUGGUUGAGAUAUCAGGUAGACAGUGAUUGUUGAUCAGAAUUAUCUCUGGUCAAAUGUUUUGUAUUAUUCAGUUCAUAUUUUUUUUUUUUUCCCAAUGGAGAACUUUUUUUUUAAGUAAUCUAUGGGAUGUGUUGAAUUAAAGUGAUUUUUUUUUUUUUUUCUGUGUUUGUCUAUUCUUGGAGGUGGUGCUCUCUCCAUGGCUCUCCUGGAGUGCAGUUUCCGGAGCUAACUUCCUUCCAACACUGACUAACAAUCUCUGAGUUCUAUAUUAUCAUUUCUUAUUGCUUCUAGUAUUUGUGCGGAGUCAAGGGAAUGGGAAGUAAAGGUGACUGUAUAUUUUCUGUCCUCAGUACCUCAUAUUAGUUUGUGUUCAGUAAGAGUAUCCUUAGGCCAGACGGUGUUGUCUGUGGUGUGAAUGACAAGACCUACAUCUUUUGCUUUGAUUUUGUCUGGGGUUUUGCUGGGCUGGGGGUUUUGUUGUGAGGGUUGUGGUUGUGCUUCGUGACUGAGAGGUGUGGGGUGGUGCGACAUCGUGUUCUGCUGUUUCUUUGUUUGUUCUAUAUGUAUUGAUCAUGUUCUUGAAUCUCUGGCGUUUGGUAAGUAUAUGCUAGUCGUAAUCUUAUUUGAGGGAGGGUUAGCAGAUGCUUUUAUAUUAAGGAGUUUGUUAAGGAGUAUCAUGUUAUUUAAUUCAGAUUCAUAUGUAGCAGGUGCAUGCAGCUGUAUUUGAGAGGUGGGCGUGUAGAAUGCAGGUGAAUAUUUUUGCGUGUGUCUCAUUAUUGAUGUAGUUAUUGAUGUUGUUAUUGUUGGAUUUGUUUAUCAGAUUUUGGCUGGUUACUGGGCUAUAUGAUUGCUUUGAAUUUUUGUCUGCUAGUCUUUUAUUUUUUAUUGCCUCCUUCCUGGGGGGACACUGCUGCCAGCGUUCUGUGUUCCCCUUGGCAGUUUAUACAUUUUUUAAUGGUAGAUUGGCAUUCCUUCCAAGUGUGGCCCUUUUCGGAACACUCACAACAGAUUUUAUAUUCACAAGGUUGAUCACAUUGGUUGGAGUAAUGUUGUUCUAUAGCAUAGCAUUUAAAACAGGUCUGUAUAUUGUAAAAUGUUUCCUGUUUGAUAUUAGUUCCCGGAAUACUCAUUUGAAACAAUCCGAUUCCUGCGUUUUGAGCUUUUUCUUGGCUAAGGAUGCUUGUGUGAAUGUGAUUUUGAUUGUUUUAGAGUUGGGAAACUUGAGAAGGGUGGUUGAUUUCCCCCUCUCCCCAGGAGUUAUUAUUGGAGAUUUCUUCUGUAAUGUCUUCUUUGUUGACAUAGAUGUGGUUGUUGACAUUAGGAUUUAUUACAGAACGGUUUGCUUUCAGUUCUUGAGGUAUUUGUGGGAAGAAAUUAUUGGUGGUGAGGUCUUUGUUUGAGAGUUAUUGAAAAGCUUGUCUAAAUCUUGUUCGUUGCUUGUACUAACUACAAAUCUGUCAGGUAGGUUAAUGAGUUCUAUGAUGACAUAAUUUUUGAAGGGGUUCCUAAAAGGGUGUUCUUUCAUCUUGGAUCUUUGCCGUUAUGAGACUAUUUUAACUCGACGCAUCUUGCAUAACUAAGGAAUACCGAGUGUUGGCGGAGGAGGAAGUAUAUUCUAUUGGGGGCAAGCUCCACUAACAAACACAGCUAAUGGAUAGUGAAUGAAAGGAGCAUGCCCAGGCAGAACAGAUAGAUGUCCCGGCCGCCAACAGCCGUCGUAGACACCCUGCUCUGCACCCUAACGAUGUGCAUUCCCGCCGUCAUCCGAGAAAACUCCCGCGGUCAGUCUUCCCGUCGGCUUCCCGUGCUUCGUUCGUUGCUUCAGAACCACCGCACGCGAUUCAUUCAGUGACCCUGGCUAGAUGGCGCCGCUGGACUGACGGAAGGGCCAACGUCAUCUUGAAUUCAAAUCUGUAUUCAAGAUAGCGGUGGUGAGGCUCAGCUCGCCUGCCACGGUAUUGGCGAACUGUGGAGAAAGAGUAAAAUGUUUUGGAAUUGAUGAUUGAUUAAAAAGGGAAAGCGCCGCAACAUCGUGGUCAUGUGGCGCCGCUACAAAAUGUUUAAGACAACUACAAUGGCAGGUUAAAAUGGUGGUAGCAAAUAAUAACAAAACUGUGGUACUGUAGAAAAUCGCAAAAAAAAAAAAACAAGAUACAGAAAGGAAAAAAAGUGAAGUGCCACAGAUUAUGAAGGCUGGAAUUUGAAUGUAUUUACUUCAAGUGACGGGGAGAUGUUAUUUUGGGGAACCUUAAGAUCUGUACUCUCGAGUUUCCACGUCUUAACUCGACAGCUUGCGGCAGGCUGUGGUAGAUAUUAUGGGGCUGGCAGGGGGCGUGUUCGUGAGUCUGGGGGUCUUUCAACGAGAAGUCUGAGUCAGUAACAAGGAAAACACAUUUGAAAAUUCGUCUGGUCAUCUCUGUGGCUUAGGAAAGUUGUCUGUGUGAGAGAAUAAAGUAUUUGAGAA